CCCCUCCUCCCUCGUUCCCUCUCUUGCCGCCGCACCCAGACCCUAACUCCACUCCUCUUCCCUCUCUUCCCCGAUUCAGAUGCACUCCUCGCAGCCGCCACCCACCUCCCACCUCCGGUUCAGUCGAUCCCGCCGCCAGCGCCCGCGCGCCACCACCCGUUCCUCCUCGCCUUCCAGAUCGCGCCGCCACCCGGCAACUCCAACCUCUCACCCACCACCGUCGCCCCUCCCCUCACCUUCUCCACCGGCGACCUCGCCUCCCUCCGCCGCCGCCCACACCCACUUAACCUCUGCUUCACCUCACCGUCUCCCCCUACCCUAGGUCCCAGAUCCAGCGGGUCAGCCGGCGGCCAUGGCGCUCCCCGAUUGACCACGGAUCCAAGACCACGUCCGCCUCCUUCCUGCUCGACCAAGAUCAAGACAACGCACGCCACUGCUUCCUUUCUCGGGCGGGGCUGUCCGGUGGGUGGCCUUUGACGCCGCUCUUCCUUCGACGCCAUGGAAGGUAGGCGAGCGAACCAGAUCCAGCUUGUACAGGCGUACAACUCCUCCUCCUCAUCGUCUUGUCUUCUUGGCCGGCCUGGAAGGCGAUGGCGGGGCCGCUGGAGUUCCUGGAGGCGCAGUGCUCGACACGGCAGGUGCUGCCGGACUGGCACACCGACCUCUACCACCGGAGGCUCUAGCACCAGCUCACCCUCAAGCUCCAGCAGUUCCUCACCCUCGCCGUCGUCCAGGUAUUGCAAAAGAGAC